GGACUACCGGGGUAUCUAAUCCUGUUUGCUCCCCACGCUUUCGCACUUGAGUGUCAGUAUUGGUCCAGGAGGUCGCUUUCGCCACUGAUGUUCCUUCCGAUAUCUACGCAUUUCACCGCUACACCGGAAAUUCCACCUCCCUCUCCCAUACUCAAGCAAAGCAGUCUCGACUGCAGUUCCCAGGUUAAGCCCGGGGAUUUCACAAUCGACUUGCAAAGCCACCUACGUGCGCUUUACGCCCAGUAAUUCCGAUUAACGCUCGCACCCUCUGUAUUACCGCGGCUGCUGGCAC
rnacentral:rRNA from 1 species